rnacentral:tRNA from 1 species
GGAUGGAUGUCUGAGUGGUUGAAGGAGUCGGUCUUGAAAACCGAAGUAUCGAAAAUACCGGGGGUUCGAAUCCCUCUCCAUCCG